GGGAUCUGGAACGGGCUCUGGU
rnacentral:miRNA from 1 species